GGGUCGUACGAAAGGAGAGAAGGUUAGCAGUCCCCUCGGGGAGGUUGGAAGAGGUCCCAGCGGCCUUUACCACCCACGUGGUUAAGGCACUGCCACCUCCUUCGUGGCAUCUAACCAGGUUCUCGA